CCUGCUUGAGUUCCAGUCCUGACUUCCUCUGGUGAUGAACAGCAACAUGGAAGGUGUUUUUACCUUGUGAGCUGCACUUCUACCCACGUGGGACCCUCCCGUGAUCUUAUUCUGCUCCCUUCCAUCACCUUCAAGAUGCAACUUCAGAAGCUACCCAGACUUCAACAAUGGCAACCGGGAAGACCCUUAACUGUGACUGCAUCUUUCUUUCUUUUAACCCUGGUGCUUAAAAAAAAACAAGCAAGCAAGCAAACAAACAAGAGGUCUUUAAUAAACUCCAACUCUACCUCA